AAACAACGACAACAACAACAACGACGAGAAUGUAUAGAUUCCUUGUACUUAUAAAAUAUAUAAUGCUGCUGUCCGUAGCAGCUGGUAUGUGAAAAAAAAAUGCAGGCGAGCAAACCCUGAUGAAGAAAAAAAAACGAAUCUCGCGGUGGGAGUAAGAAUAACUUUAGUCGCCGAUGAUUACGACGACGACGCCGUAGACCAUUUCGAUGAUAUAUUACAAUAAUAAAACUGAAUCAUAGAAACUCCAGAACUCCAAUGAGCCAUUCUUUCGUAUUUUUUUGCUAGAAGCAAUAACAUUAUUUUUUUCGGCGCCUAACCAGCAUCCAUUCAACGACGACGACAACAACGACGACGAAGAAAAAUCUAACCAGAAAUAGAUGAUUUGGAUACUGUGUUGUUGUAUUGUUGAAAAUUGGCAACCAACCACCACUAUUACCGGCAUGCGCUGAAAAAAAAUAAAACCAAACAACAAUCUUUGGCGCCCAUCUUAUAUAAAUGGCUAUCUAUUGAAUUUGCGAAAAACAUACAAUCUGAUUAUCUAUGAAUUUAUUCGUUCCAUAUAAUCAAGAGAUGGCACUCGUUAGGGUUGUUGGUAAUUCAAUGAUUAUAUCGAAUGCAAUGAAUGGACAAGGCCAUAAUAUUUGAAUGACGCGUGCUUGUCGCUUGUGUAUUGGAACGUGGCUAAAUAAUAAAAGGCAAAAAAAUGGAAAAAAAAGAAGAAGAAAAAUAAUUUUCCAUUCAAUAUUGAUCGAACGGACAGAUGUGUACCGAAAAUAAGUGUCAAAUAAUGUACGAUAUCAGUCAGUCAGUCAGCCAACCAGCCAACCAGCCAGCUGCUUAAUGAUGGCCGAUUGCCAAGGCUGGGUCAUUCGUAUUUUUUUUUUUAAUGUCUUCCUUUUGUUGUUGUUGUUGUUUUCCUGAAUCGACCUGAAGACUUUUAUACGCUUGACUUGAUUUGAUGAA